rnacentral:lncRNA from 1 species
GUUUCCAAGGGACAGAAACUUGGACGUGCAGAGCAGAGCGAGUUGUGGAGUGCUGAUCCAGGCUGGAAGACCAGGACACAGACCGAGCCUUGCAACUCAGCCACCUGGCAGUCUGGGCAAGCCAUAGCUUUUCAGCGGUGUGCCUGAAGUAAUACUCUGUUGCAAACUGGGGAGUUGAAUAGUACAAUCACAAGAAAGAACGAACUUGCUGGGUAAUAUUUUGUAGCAUUUUCAGAGGUAAGCUCAAUAACUGCGAGCCCUAAAAUUAUUUGUUUAGCACCCCGAUAACAGCUCUUCCAAAGACAGUGGUUUGGGGUGAAUGUUCCUCUGGUCUGAUUUCAUAUUGAUUACAAUAUGUACAGAGUUCAACUUUCAAUUCUUUCCCCCCGUCAAGGGGGAAGAAGGAUAGUUCCCUCUCUUAGGUGUGGAAUCUUGUUGCUCUACUUCCAGUGAUGAAAACUACUGAAGUGUUGAGCUUUUAUCCUUUCUCCUUAUGUUAAGGCACCUGUUUUGGCAUAUCAUCAGAUCCCAUUGGCAAACUCCCAAAAAUGAUACCUCUUUAGUAGUCUCCUGAUAGAUGGUUUCCUGGUAAGAUCUGUAAGUUGUACGGUGCCUUUUAUUUUUCAGUACUUUCUUAUUAGAGUAAUUUUAAUUAUUCUAUAGUCAUCUAUUCCAUAGUCAUCUUCAUUCUCAGAUGCAGUGAUUGGAGCUUCUCACAACUUCCUAUGCUUCAUUUCCCUCCUGUGACUGAGACCAUCCAAAGUUGUGAGACUACCCAUACAGAACAUUUAUGAAAAAUUGAAUCUUCCCCUAAUAAUGCAGAUUGCCAUAGAUCCUGGAAAACUGCAAGUCUCUUCCAGGAAAAGAAUAUCCUGUCACCAGGUCCAAUCCUGACAGAGGUCUCCAGCUGUUACCCCAGAACAUCAAGCUUCAGAGAAACAGCAGACAGCACAAACGGCUGCUUCCAUUUCUUGCAAAUGACAGAAAGAGAAAUCCUAAUGACCUGUCGUCUUUGGUUCUGGCUUGAGGCCAGGUUGUAUAAACCUUGUUGGAUGGCGAGUAGCUGUAGUGACACAGAAGUCACCAGCCUCAGGGAUUGCACUGCGUUCCCUGAUUGCCAGCGUGAAAGGAGCGCGGCUGCUGCAGCACCCAGGGCACUGCACCUACGGGUCCAGGAGGAUGCCUGGUGGGGUCCGUUCCUACGCUUCCUCUCUCCUGUCCCAAAGCAGCAACAAGAUCUACCCAUUGCUCCUGCACUGAGGCUGAAUCAUCAUUACCUCUGCUCCUACACCUUUGCACAAAAGCCAGUCGCAAUCUGGUUAUGUGGUAACACAGGUGAUAUGUCCCAGAGCAUGCAGUCAGGGCUUCUGCUGGUGAAGUCAAAACAAAUUGGAGUGAUCCAUGCACAGUUUGAAUUUGUUAGUUAAUUCCCUUAGCCAUCAAGAGCAGCAUGGUCAAGUGAAUAAGCCUGGGAGUUAGGAGAAGGGGGUCUCUUACUAAUUCUACCACUGACCUGUUGUGUGACCUAAGGCAAACAGAGCUGCUCUCUGCUGCCCGUCUUUGGGUCUGCCCUAGCUCUUCAGACUGUAAAUUCCUUGUGCAGUGAAAAUUUGCCAGUCAGGACUUGUCUAUGCAGUGUUUGCACUGAUUUCACCAAAUUGUCAGAGUCAUCAGCUGAAUUAAAUUGUUAUAUCUUUCUCAUGAGGGAACAUCAUAGCAGUAUAAACAUCUGUUUUAUAGGGAUACUUUGUUUCAGUCAAAUUACACUGGAUACUAAACAUAAUUGUAGUACACCUGGUGUAGAUGUGUCUGAAUCGCCAUAAAUCAUCACUCUACUCUAAUAUAGCUAAUUGUUAUCAUUGGUGCUGUUGUUAUUCCUAUUUACUAAUAGCCUCUGGUAUGUAGUAAUAUUUGGCUUUAAAAAAUCAGGUAUGCA